AUUGAACGCUGGCGGCAGGCCUAACACAUGCAAGUCGAACGGUAACAGGAAACAGAUUGCUGUUUCGCUGACGAGUGGCGGACGGGUGAGUAAUGUCUGGGAAACUGCCUGAUGGAGGGGGAUAACUACUGGAAACGGUAGCUAAUACCGCAUAACGUCGCAAGACCAAAGAGGGGGACCUUCGCGCCCCUUGCCAUCGGGUGUGCCCAGAUGGGAUUAGCUAGUAGGUGGGGUAACGGCUCACCUAGGCGACGAUCCCUAGCUGGUCUGAGAGGAUGACCAGCCACACUGGAACAGAGACACGGUCCAGACUCCUACGGGAGGCAGCAGUGGGGAAUAUUGCACAAUGGGCGCAAGCCUGAUGCAGCCAUGCCGCGUGUAUGAAGAAGGCCUUCGGGUUGUAAAGUACUUUCAGCGGGGAGGAAGGGAGUAAAGUUAAUACCCUGACUCAUUGACGUUACCCGCAGAAGAAGCACCGGCUAACUCCGUG
rnacentral:rRNA from 1 species